rnacentral:lncRNA from 1 species
CGAGCAAGAAGAAGAUGACGAGUAUGAUCAGCUGCCACCGUUUAAGCCUCUCCGGAAAUCCCAGCUUGCUAAACUCUCAAAGGAACAGAGAAACGCAUACUUUGACGAGUAUAAUUACCGGGAAAAGCUCCUGAAGAGGAAACAAUGGAAAGAGGAGCUGAGAAGGAUGAGAGAAACGAAGAAAAACGGGAAAAAGAUAGAAGACGAACCGGAAGAAGAAGAAGACGAUCCACUUGCAUCGUCGUCUCCUGCUUUGCUACCGGAUAUAGAAUUGCCAACUUCAUUUGACAGUGAUAACUCAGCUUAUCGUUACCGUUCUCUUGAACCCACUUCAAAGUUCCUUACC